rnacentral:tRNA from 1 species
AGGGUUGUGGCUCAGUGGUAGAGCACUUGCCUAGCAUGUACGAGGACCUGGGUUUGAUCCUCAGCACCACAU